AGAGCUAGAUUUGGGUAGCAUGAAAUGCUGGGCAUGAAAUCCCCAGCGAAUCUGAUAUUCUUCUUCCCUACCCUACACGUCCCAUUCCCCUAUCUAACCAACCCUACCUUAUAUCAAACAAUAUCAUUCGUCCUAAUUCUGAUCUCCUCUUCCAACCCAUUGGAGCUAGCAGCUUACACGCAUAUUUGGAUGCAGGUUUCGGGCUGUUUGGCAGCUGAGAAAAGCAAGUGCAAACAGAAUAUAUAUAUAUAUAUAUAUACACACACAUGUAUGUGGAUGGAGUCGAGUGUUGCAGUGUUUUCCAUCACUGGCAAGAAAAUGGUUCCUUGAUCGGAUCGCUGGCCAUCAUUUCCAUGGCAGCCUCAGAUUGGUUCAAGAUACGAGGCACUGAACCAGUCAGUUCUUGUGAAUUAAUGCUAACCCUUUUUUUGUUCAUCUUUUCUCUUGUUCUUUCCCUUGCUCUUGCUCUUGCUUCGGCCCUUGUCUGAACUGCAGCGUCAUAUGACUGCUUCAUCUUCUUCCUCUUGAACCCUUCAUUUCCAGCAGCUUCAUUGGAUCCUGAAACCAAGCCUGCCCCGUCGCCGUGCUUCAUCUGCUUCAGCUCCUUGAUCGAAGCUUGUGACUUGGUGAGCAACCAAUCAAGUGUUUUGCUUGCUUUGUCGAAACCCAGUACAUCUUGAAGACUAAAAAACUUCUUGGCAAUGUCAAUGGAGAGUCUCACUCUCCUCUCCCUUGUCCCUCGAGCCGUGCGAAUCUUGCUGUGCCGAUCUUUCUUCCCAGGUUUCCUUCUAGCAGGAAGUGAUGAACUACUCUGUGAAUAAUUAACCCUUUGGUGUUUGUUCGAAGCCGCCAUGGCAGAGAUUGUGGCAGUGACAUCAUAACUGGGUGGCACUAAGUCACUCUCAAGCAGAUCAAGCUGAUCGUGAAGGAAAAUGUUCUGGCCAAGAAGGGGAGAUGGAGGAAGGGGGAGAUGGAGAAAAGGAUUGGCACUGUAGCUUGAAGAAAACAUCUGUAGCUUUCAAAAAUUGGGUCUACAGUAAGUAAUCUUUGCAACACUACCUAGUGCUUCUGAAUCUUCUUUACACAGUUUUGGUGAUCUUUCCUUCCAUUUUCAACCCUCUUUGUACUUGCUGGGGGUUGUUGAAGGCACUAAACCGGUAAACUAGCUGGAGUGGUAUGGAUGCAAAAUAAGGUGCUUUCAUUUUCACUAAAAUUUCUUCAUCUUCUUCAUCUCAAACAAGGAACAAAAGCUUGAAAGUGACCUUGUGCACUAGAAAUUAACCAGAGAUUUAGAGCCCGGGGGGGGGGGGG